rnacentral:rRNA from 1 species
AUUGAACGCUGGCGGCAGGCCUAACACAUGCAAGUCGAGCGAGAGGCGGACGGGUGAGUAGUGUAUGGGGAUCUGCCCGAUAGAGGGGGAUAACUACUGGAAAAGGUGGCUAAUAGCGCAUACUAUCGGAUGAACCCAUGUGGGAUUAGCUAGUCGGUGGGGUAAAGGCUCACCUAGGCGACGAUUCCUAGCUGGUCUGAGAGGAUGAUCGGCCACACUGGGACGGAGACACGGUCCAGACUCCUACGGGAGGCAGCAGUGGGGAGUAUUGCACAAUGGGCGCAAGCCUGAUGGAGCCAUGCCGCGUGUGUGAAGAAGGCCUUCGGGUUGUAAAGCACUUUCAGUGGGGAGGCGUUACUCGCACAGUAAGCACCGGCUAACUCCGUGCCAGCAGCCGCGGUAAUAC